UACGUAGACCUCAAGCGUUAUCCGGAUUUAUUGGGCGUAAAGCGCGUGUAGAUGGUUUUGUGCGUCUCUGGUUAAAGACCACCGCCUAACGGUGGAAGUGCCAGGGAUACGACAGAACUAGAGGAAGUUAGAGGCAAGUGGAACGCACGGUGUAGGGGUGAAAUCCGUUGAUAUCGUGCGGAACACCAAAGGCGAAGGCAGCUUGCUGGGACUUUCCUGACAUUGAGACGCGAAAGCGUGGGGAG
rnacentral:rRNA from 1 species